rnacentral:rRNA from 1 species
AGGCAGCAGUGGGGAAUAUUGGACAAUGGGCGCAAGCCUGAUCCAGCAAUGCCGCGUGGGUGAAGAAGGCCUUCGGGUUGUAAAGCCCUUUUGUACGGGAAGAAAUCAUCCGGGUUAAUACCCUGGGUGGAUGACGGUACCGUAAGAAUAAGCACCGGCUAACUUCGUGCCAGCAGCCGCGGUAAUACGAAGGGUGCAAGCGUUAAUCGGAAUUACUGGGCGUAAAGCGUGCGUAGGUGGUUGUUCAAGUCUGUCGUGAAAGCCCUGGGCUCAACCUGGGAAUGGCGAUGGAAACUGGGCGACUGGAGUGCGGUAGAGGAUGGCGGAAUUCCCGGUGUAGCGGUGAAAUGCGUAGAGAUCGGGAGGAACAUCCGUGGCGAAGGCGGCCAUCUGGACCAGCACUGACACUGAGGCACGAAAGCGUGGGGAGCAAACAGGAUUAGAUACCCUGGUAGUCCACGCCCUAAACGAUGCGAACUGGAUGUUGGUCUCAACUUUGAGAUCAGUGUCGAAGCUAACGCGUUAAGUCGCCGCCGGGAGACGGCCA